AUUGAACGCUGGCGGCAUGCCUUACACAUGCAAGUCGAACGGUAACGGGCCUUCGGGUGCCGACGAGUGGCGAACGGGUGAGUAAUACAUCGGAACGUGCCCGAUCGUGGGGGAUAACGAGGCGAAAGCUUUGCUAAUACCGCAUACGAUCUACGGAUGAAAGCAGGGGACCGCAAGGCCUUGCGCGGACGGAGCGGCCGAUGGCAGAUUAGGUAGUUGGUGGGAUAAAAGCUUACCAAGCCGACGAUCUGUAGCUGGUCUGAGAGGAUGAUCAGCCACACUGGAACUGAGACACGGCCCAGACUCCUACGGGAGGCAGCAGUGGGGAAUUUUGGACAAUGGGCGCAAGCCUGAUCCAGCCAUGCCGCGUGCAGGAUGAAGGCCUUCGGGUUGUAAACUGCUUUUGUACGGAACGAAAAGCCUUCUUUUAAUACAGGAGGGUCAUGACGGUACCGUAAGAAUAAGCACCGGCUAACUACGUG
rnacentral:rRNA from 1 species